UAUAUAUAACCUUUUCCAGCCCGCAACUCAUUCAUUACUCCCAAACAUCUUCUACCAAGCCAAAAAGCUGCAGGCGGGUUUGAAAGAGAGAUAGAUCGAUCAUGAAGACCAGCUUACUCGUUCUGAUCUUUGUUGCAUUCCUCUUGAUCUUACCAACUCUGCAAGAAGCCAGUGCAGAAAGCAGGAUCCCAUUGGUGGAUAAAAAGCGUACGUCGAAGGCCAACCCUCAGUUCCUAACAAAUCGAAAGGCCGGUAAGGCUGGUUCUAGUGGCACGAAAUUACCGCAAGCUGCCUUCAAGGAAGGCGCGGCAAGCUUUGAAACUAAGGCAGUCGUGGACAGUACUACUGACGAUAAUGAAGACGAUGAACCAAACACAGCAGGGCAUUCAGUUCCAUCAUCAAAUGGCCAGAAUCACCAUCUCUUUCUUUGUGAUAUUAAAAGAAACUGCUGAAAUACUAGAUCAUACUGAUCAGUACGUACUCUUUUAAGGCCGGCAAACCAAGAAUUAUAUACGAAAUACAGUACCGAAUAUGGUGUAGUACUAUAUAUGGCUUGCAAUAAAGUGAAACUAAACAUGGUAGUAGCCAAAUUAAGCAUAUAUAUAUAUAUAUGCAUGGCAUGCACAUGUUUAAUUAUUACUUUAAGUAUGCAUCAUGUAUAUCCGUUUUGUGCGACAGGCUCGAUCUGGCUUGUACACAGACUAAAUAUGUUGUGAAUUAUAGCUGUUUUCAAAAUAAAAGGAGUUAAAGGGCCUUGCAUGCAUGGCAUGAU